AGCUUUGCACAGUGGCAGUAUUGUAGCCAGUGAGGUUUAUCCAAGGAGCGAUUAUUGCUAAUUGAAAACUUUUCCCAAUACCCUGCCAUGAUGACUUGAAAUAUAGUCAGCAUUGGCAUUUUUUGACAGUCUCUACGGAGA
ensembl:snRNA U4 U4 spliceosomal RNA